GAUGAACGCUGGCGGCGUGCCUAAUACAUGCAAGUCGAGCGAACGGACGAGAAGCUUGCUUCUCUGAUGUUAGCGGCGGACGGGUGAGUAACACGUGGAUAACCUACCUAUAAGACUGGGAUCACUUCGGGAAACCGGCGCUAAUACCGGAUAAUAUUUUGAACCGCAUGGUUCAAAAGUGAAAGACGGUCUUGCUGUCACUUAUAGAUGGAUCCGCGCUGCAUUAGCUAGUUGGUAAGGUAACGGCUUACCAAGGCAACGAUGCAUAGCCGACCUGAGAGGGUGAUCGGCCACACUGGAACUGAGACACGGUCCAGACUCCUACGAGAGGCAGCAGUAGGGAAUCUUCCGCAAUGGGCGAAAGCCUGACGGAGCAACGCCGCGUGAGUGAUGAAGGUCUUCGGAUCGUAAAACUCUGUUAUUAGGGAAGAACAUAUGUGUAAGUAACUGUGCACAUCUUGACGGUACCUAAUCAGAAAGCCACGGCUAACUACGUG
rnacentral:rRNA from 1 species